CUAAAUAAUUUAUUAAACACAAAUCAACAAUUAAUAAUACACAUCAGAUAAUACACAAAUGAAUAAGAAAGGUAGAUUUCUCUGCUUGAGUCUCACCAUCCAAUGAGGAUACUUGCAAUAUGUAUUUUAUGUUACCAAAGAAACCAUUAAUAUGACCCAUAUUUUCAUCAAUAGUUAAUAAUUUGCAUUUUGAAGUAGGAUCAGCUGAAAUUAUUUUAUAAUAUUUUCCCAUAAUCAAAAUGAAGAGUAUGGCAAACAAGGCAUGUAGAAACGAUCCGUUUUAUAAAUAAUUACCGAUAAAUCAAUGAUAUCGAUAGGAGGUACAGGAGGAAGAAGCGCAACAAAGCUGGACAUAUAAAUGCAGAACGUGAUCUCAGAAAUUAUUUAUAAAUUAAUAUUAAGUAUCUCAUUAGCUGCAUGAAUUAAUAAUAAUCUUGAGCAAAGAAAAAAAUAAUCUGGCACAUAUGACGACCCGCGACAAUUUAUUAUAAUCAAGGACAAUGAUUUCAUUGGAGAGAAGGUAAUGGAGAGCAGUUUAAAAAGCCAAUUGCAGUUUAAUUAGUUAAUAGUAAGUCCUUGAGCAUACUCGAUCUUUUCGUUAUAAAUUGGAACCUUUAUCUAAUCGAUUAACCUACUUUCGACGAAUUAACGAUUUUUAUCGAUUUCAAUGUCAGUCAUUCGAUACACACGGAUAGAAACACAAGAAUUCAUGUAGAGGAAGACGACAAGGAUCUGUAUGAAAUACAAACAAGUACAAUUAUUUUAAUAAAUCUGUUGUAUUAUCACCAUAAUAUAAUACAAUUACUGCCACAACGAACAGUCAGUAGAAUAACGUGUGGUAACACGUAUUCACGCCGUUAAAUUAUCGCCUAAGUUUACAAUGAAAAAUUAAAAAGAGA
rnacentral:lncRNA from 1 species